AUCGUUCAUCCUCUUCGGAGGACGCAAAUGCCGACUGAAGGAACGGGAU
rnacentral:ncRNA from 1 species